rnacentral:rRNA from 1 species
AAAACAUCGCUCUUUGAGAAUUUAUAGGGAGUUGGACCUGCCCGGUGAUUUGGCAGAUUUCGAAAUUGUUAAUUAGAAAUUUUUUUAAACGGCUGCAAUUGAUAAUUGUGCUAAGGUAGCGUAAUCAUUUGCCCCCUAAUUAGGGGAAGGUAUGAAUGGUUUGACGUGGGAGGAGCUGUCUCUGUUGCAUAGAAAGAAGUUUAUUUUUGAGUGAAAAAGCUUAGAUGUUUAUAAAAGACGAGAAGACCCUAUCGAACUUGAAUUAGAUGUUUGAGGUUUUUGAAUGUUGAAAGUUUAGUUGGGGAAACUUAAAGUAAAAGAGAACGCUUUUUUAUGUUUUGUAUUGAUCCUGCAGUGUGGAUAAAAAGAAAAAGUUACCGUAGGGAUAACAGCGCUUUCCUUUUUGAGAGGACUAAUCAAAGAAAGGGUUGCGACCUCGAUGUUGGAUUAAAAUUUCUUUUUGGGGUAGGGGUUAAAAUAGUAGGACUGUUCGUCCUUUAAAAUUUUACGUGAUC